GAGUGAAUGAAUGAAUGAGUUCCCAUGUGUAUGCCUGAGUGAAUGAAUGAAUGAGUUCUCGUGUGUGCCUGAGUGAAUGAAUGAAUGAGUUUCCGUGUGCGUGCCUGAGUGAAUGAAUGAAUGAGCUCCCUGUACAUGCCUCAGUGAAUGAAUGAAUGAGCUCCCGUGUGCAGGCCUGAGUGAAUGAAUGAAUGAGUCCCCGUGUGCAUGCCUGAGUGAAUGAGUGAGUUCCUGCGUGCAGGCCUGCCUGAGCGGAUGAGUGAGUGCUUGCAAGAAGGGGUGAGUGCCUGAAUUCGUGAAUGAGCGCUCAUCUGCUGGAGUGGGGUGAAUGAGUGAAUUAGUAAUUCACGGAUGCCUGAGUGCACGCAUUUACUAAGCACACGCGGGAGGGAGGAAGCAGAUUGCUUUGGCCCAGAGGGAAAGAGAGGGUUAAAGAAGCCACAUUCCAGGCUGGGGAAGGGGUUGGGGGGUGGUUCCUGGCACUUUCUCCUGCCUUGGGGGAGAAAAUGAGACCCUUCCAGGCCAAGCGCAGACGCAGCCCUGGAGAAGGCAGAUUCCUUCCCGCCUCAUCCCUGAACCCACCCUUUCAUUACCGCUCAUAAAGCAUCCUAGGCAUUCCACGCUCUACCCAACCCUCGGGAAGUCCAGGAAACACCACGAGGCGGGUUGAUAGGUUUGGAGGAAGUAGAUAUCACCCCCUCCCACCCACGGGAGCCGGACACCCUAACCUGUGCUUCAGUCCCAGUCUUGCUCCCCCGGCUUUUGCUUCCACGGGUCGCAGCAUCUUCUGGGACGUUCUGACAAACAGUCCCAGGUCUCGUUACACCCCUAGCCUCAGGAAACUGCGUGUUGGGGUCAUACUCUCUGUUAACCAAGCUUCCCUCCCCCUGGUGGGUUCUGAUUGCUGACUUGUGGGCUUGGGAUGGCUGGAGCACCCUGUGGCUAGAGAGUGGGGGGAGUAGGUGGGAGCCAGAGGCAGCAAGUGAGGGGAACUGGAGAGAGGUUCGCGUCUGUUCUUUUUUUCCAGUUCUCAUGUUUAUUUCAUACUGCCUGCGAGUGUACUGAGUGGCUUCAGUCAUGUCUGAGUCUGCAACCCCGUGGACUGUAGCCCGCCAGGCUCCUCUGUCCAUGAGAUUCUCCAGGCAAGAGUACUGGACUGGGUUGCCAUGCCCUCCUCGAGGGGAAUCUUCCUGACCCAGGGAUGGAACCCCAGUCUCCCGCACUGGCAGGCGGGUUCUUUACCACGAGCGCCAUGUGGGAAGGCCUUAUUUCAUGACUUCAAAAAAAAAAAAAUUAAGUCUCCGUUAGAGUAUAACGGAUGAAGUGCUUUCCUGCUGGCUCACUGAUGAAGAAUCUGCCUGCCGACGCAAGAAACGACGCAGGUUCGAUCCCUGGGUCGGGA
ensembl:lncRNA